UACGUAGGGGGCAAGCGUUGUCCGGAUUUAUUGGGCGUAAAGAGCUCGUAGGCGGUUUGUCGCGUCUGCUGUGAAAACUCGGGGCUUAACUCCGGGCCUGCAGUGGGUACGGGCAGACUAGAGUGCGGUAGGGGAGACUGGAAUUCCUGGUGUAGCGGUGAAAUGCGCAGAUAUCAGGAGGAACACCGGUGGCGAAGGCGGGUCUCUGGGCCGUAACUGACGCUGAGGAGCGAAAGCGUGGGGGAGCGAACAGG
rnacentral:rRNA from 1 species